rnacentral:tRNA from 1 species
GGAGGGGUUCCCGAGCGGUCAAAGGGAUCAGACUGUAAAUCUGACGCGAGAGCUUCGCAGGUUCGAAUCCUGCCCCCUCCACCA